GGAAAUCUCACCAGGCCCGGACACUGGAAGGAUUGACAGAUUGAUAGCUCUUUCUUGAUUCGGUGGGUGGUGGUGCAUGGCCGUUCUUAGUAGGUUGAGUGUUUUGUCUUGUUAAUUCCGUUAACGAACGAGACCUUAACCUGCUAAAUAGUGACGCGGUUCAUCGAACCGUGGGCCACUUCUUAGAGGGACUAUCGGAUUCAAACCGAUGGAAGUGUGAGGCAAUAA
rnacentral:rRNA from 1 species